UUCUGGAGAAGUCCUGCCGCACUGUCAUGAGCAAGUCCCCGAACAAGCACAACCGUCUUUACAUGGAAGCUCGCCCCUUGGAGGAGGGACUGGCUGAGGCCAUUGAUGACGGGCGCAUUGGCCCGCGUGACGAUCCUAAGGUGCGUUCCAAGAUCCUGUCUGAGGAGUUUGGCUGGGACAAGGAUCUUGCCAAGAAGAUUUGGUGCUUUGGACCUGAGACGACUGGACCCAACAUGGUCGUUGACAUGUGUAAGGGAGUGCAGUAUCUCAAUGAAAUCAAGGACUCUGUUGUGGCUGGGUUCCAGUGGGCGUCAAAGGAAGGCGCGUUGGCUGAGGAGAACAUGCGUGGCAUUUGCUUUGAGGUCUGUGAUGUUGUUCUCCACACUGAUGCUAUUCACAGGGGUGGUGGUCAGGUCAUUCCCACGGCCAGGAGGGUCAUUUAUGCUUCCCAGCUCACUGCCAAGCCAAGGCUGCUGGAGCCUGUGUACCUGGUUGAGAUCCAGGCCCUGGAGAAUGCACUUGGUGGCAUCUAUGGUGUUCUGAAUCAGAAGAGAGGGCACGUGUUCGAGGAGAUGCAGAGGCAAGGUACCCCGCUCUACAACAUCAAGGCCUACCUCCCUGUCAUCGAGUCCUUUGGGUUCUCAAGCACCCUGAGGGCCGCGACGUCCGGCCAGGCAUUCCCCCAGUGUGUGUUUGACCACUGGGACAUCAUGGCUUCUGAUCCUUUGGACCCUGGCACCCAGUCGGCGACGCUCGUCACGGACAUCCGCAAGAGGAAGGGCCUCAAGGAGCAGAUGACCCCUCUGUCCGAUUUCGAGGACAAGCUCUAAAUUUUUGGUGCUGUUAUCCCAUACCUGCUAUUGUGUUGUUAAAGAGAGCUGCACUAUUUUGUAUCGAUGAGUCUAUCUUACUGUCUUGCUGUUAAUGACCUAUUUGUCGUGAUACUGGGAACUAUGUUUUGAUGUCUGGUGAUGUAACGGAUGUUUUACUUAGAUUAUGUAUCUGUUGUCCACUGGUUCUUUUGCUCUUGUGCUUGAUCUUUAGAUUUGCCUGUUCACUAUUCUCGUUCGUUGG
rnacentral:lncRNA from 1 species